rnacentral:rRNA from 1 species
GGCCAGACUCCUACGGGAGGCAGCAGUGGGGAAUAUUGCACAAUGGGGGAAACCCUGAUGCAGCGACGCCGCGUGAGUGAAGAAGUAUUUCGGUAUGUAAAGCUCUAUUAGCAGGAAAGAAAAUGACGGUACCUGACUAAGAAGCCCCGGCUAACUACGUGCCAGCAGCCGCGGUAAUACGUAGGGGGCAAGCGUUAUCCGGAUUUACUGGGUGUAAAGGGAGCGUAGACGGUGAAGCAAGUCUGAAGUGAAAGGCGGGGGCUCAACCCCCGGACUGCUUUGGAAACUGUUUGACUGGAGUGCAGGAGAGGUAAGUGGAAUUCCUAGUGUAGCGGUGAAAUGCGUAGAUAUUAGGAGGAACACCAGUGGCGAAGGCGGCUUACUGGACUGUAACUGACGUUGAGGCUCGAAAGCGUGGGGAGCAAACAGGAUUAGAUACCCCAGUAAG